ACACGCAUUUCUCAUAUGAAUAAUUUUUUUACAGUUCUACAAAGAUGUGGUAGCUGUCAAGAAGAGCGACGCUGUUCGUUUUGGAGAUUUGGACACAAGAGCGUUUUCGGAAAACAUCCUUGUUGUUACAAGAUUAGCACACCUGAAUCCGGGUAUUGUGGGUAUAGUGAACCUUUCCGAUGAGGACCAAGUUGUGGACUUGAGCUCAAUCAAGAUGCUGCCUGGUCACCUGCUCUAUGUGGCUGCUUCUGGAGUUCACUGCUCACUUGACAAGUGGCAAAUUGUGUUGAAGAACCAGGUUACCGUGUCAGGUCACUGCGCUAUCGUCCUCAGGACCCUGUUAUUCAAUUGCUGAUUCAGCUGAAACACUUGAACAUACUAGUACUUACUAACUGAC